UACGUAGGGGGGCUAGCGUUGUCCGGAAUCAUUGGGCGUAAAGAGCGUGUAGGCGGUCCGGUAAGUCCGCUGUGAAAGUCGGGGGCUCAACCCUCGAAUGCCGGUGGAUACUGUCGGGCUAGAGUGCGGAAGAGGCGAGUGGAAUUCCUGGUGUAGCGGUGAAAUGACGCAGAUAUCAGGAGGAACACCGGUGGCGAAGGCGGGUCUCUGGGCCGAUACUGACGCUGGAGGAGCGAAAGCGUGGGGAGCGAACAGG
rnacentral:rRNA from 1 species